rnacentral:rRNA from 1 species
UGGGGAAUAUUGCACAAUGGGCGCAAGCCUGAUGCAGCCAUGCCGCGUGUAUGAAGAAGGCCUUCGGGUUGUAAAGUACUUUCAGCGGGGAGGAAGGGAGUAAAGUUAAUACCUUUGCUCAUUGACGUUACCCGCAGAAGAAGCACCGGCUAACUCCGUGCCAGCAGCCGCGGUAAUACGGAGGGUGCAAGCGUUAAUCGGAAUUACUGGGCGUAAAGCGCACGCAGGCGGUUUGUUAAGUCAGAUGUGAAAUCCCCGGGCUCAACCUGGGAACUGGAUCUGAUACUGGCAAGCUUGAGUCUCGUAGAGGGGGGUAGAAUUCCAGGUGUAGCGGUGAAAUGCGUAGAGAUCUGGAGGAAUACCGGUGGCGAAGGCGGCCCCCUGGACGAAGACUGACGCUGAGGUGCGAAAGCGUGGGGAGCAAACAGG